rnacentral:ncRNA from 2 species
UACCUUUGCCUGUGAAGAGGUGAUUGAAGCGCAUUACCUAUGUGCUUUGAUUGAAAAGGGAACUCAGUGAGAAUCUGGGACUGGACCCUCAGCUGUAUAUUCUGUAGACAGCUUUGCCAUCUCGUAAUGUCACUGUAGGUCGUUACUCCGAACUGGGAGAAAAUCUAUGGGAAGACUGCAAAGCAAGAGCCAAUAGGCGACAGGAUGAGUCAGAAGACCUGCCUUUUCGUUGAUAGUUUU